rnacentral:rRNA from 1 species
AGAGGUCCUUUCUGGCUCAGGACGAACGCUGGCGGCCUGCCUAAUACAUGCCAGUCGAGCGAGCUUGCCUAGAUGAUUUUAGUGCUAGCACUAAAUGAAACUAGAUACAAGCGAGCGGCGGACGGGAGAGUAACGCCUGGGUAACCUGCCCAAGAGACUGGGAUAACACCUGGAAACAGAUGCUAAUACCGGAUAACAAGGCGGGAGGCGUGUCUAGAGUUUGAAAGAUGGUUCUGCUAUCACUCUUGGAUGGACCUGCGGUGCAUUAGCUAGUUGGUAAGGUAACGGCUUACCAAGGGCAAUGAUGCAUAGCCGAGUUGAGAGACUGAUCGGCCACAUUGGGACUGAGACACGGCCCAAACUCCUACGGGAGGCAGCAGUAGGGAAUCUUCCACAAUGGACGAAAGUCUGAUGGAGCAACGCCGCGUGAGUGAAGAAGGGUUUCGGCUCGUAAAGCUCUGUUGGUAGUGAAGAAAGAUAGAGGUAGUAACUGGCCUUUAUUUGACGGUAAUUACUUAGAAAGUCACGGCUAACUACGUGCCAGCAGCCGCGGUAAUACGUAGGUGGCAAGCGUUGUCCGGAUUUAUUGGGCGUAAAGCGAGUGCAGGCGGUUCAAUAAGUCUGAUGUGAAAGCCUUCGGCUCAACCGGAGAAUUGCAUCAGAAACUGUUGAACUUGAGUGCAGAAGAGGAGAGUGGAACUCCAUGUGUAGCGGUGGAAUGCGUAGAUAUAUGGAAGAACACCAGUGGCGAAGGCGGCUCUCUGGUCUGCAACUGACGCUGAGGCUCGAAAGCAUGGGUAGCGAACAGGAUUAGAUACCCUGGUAGUCCAUGCCGUAAACGAUG